rnacentral:rRNA from 1 species
ACUUCCGUUAAUUGAUUAUGACGUACUUGUACUGAUUGAGAUUUUAACACGAAGUGAGUGGCGAACGGGUGAGUAACACGUGGGUAACCUGCCCAGAAGUAGGGGAUAACACCUGGAAACAGAUGCUAAUACCGUAUAACAGAGAAAACCGCAUGGUUUUCUUUUAAAAGAUGGCUCUGCUAUCACUUCUGGAUGGACCCGCGGCGUAUUAGCUAGUUGGUGAGGUAAAGGCUCACCAAGGCAGUGAUACGUAGCCGACCUGAGAGGGUAAUCGGCCACAUUGGGACUGAGACACGGCCCAGACUCCUACGGGAGGCAGCAGUAGGGAAUCUUCCACAAUGGACGCAAGUCUGAUGGAGCAACGCCGCGUGAGUGAAGAAGGGUUUCGGCUCGUAAAGCUCUGUUGUUAAAGAAGAACGUGGGUAAGAGUAACUGUUUACCCAGUGACGGUAUUUAACCAGAAAGCCACGGCUAACUACGUGCCAGCAGCCGCGGUAAUACGUAGGUGGCAAGCGUUAUCCGGAUUUAUUGGGCGUAAAGCGAGCGCAGGCGGUCUUUUAAGUCUAAUGUGAAAGCCUUCGGCUCAACCGA